AUUGAACGCUGGCGGCAUGCUUUACACAUGCAAGUCGAACGGUAACAGGCCUUCGGGUGCUGACGAGUGGCGAACGGGUGAGUAAUGCAUCGGAACGUGCCCAGAGGUGGGGGAUAACGCAGCGAAAGCUGUGCUAAUACCGCAUGUGAUCUGAGGAUGAAAGCGGGGGACCCAGCAGCAAUGUUUGGCCUCGCGCCUCUGGAGCGGCCGAUGUCAGAUUAGGUAGUUGGUGGGGUAAAGGCCUACCAAGCCGACGAUCGGUAGCUGGUCUGAGAGGACGACCAGCCACACUGGGACUGAGACACGGCCCAGACUCCUACGGGAGGCAGCAGUGGGGAAUUUUGGACAAUGGGCGCAAGCCUGAUCCAGCAAUGCCGCGUGCGGGAAGAAGGCCUUCGGGUUGUAAACCGCUUUUGUACGGAACGAAAAGGCUCUGGCUAAUACCUGGGGCUGAUGACGGUACCGGAAGAAUAAGCACCGGCUAACUACGUG
rnacentral:rRNA from 1 species